rnacentral:rRNA from 1 species
GGGAUGAGAUAUAAGCUGUCUUGAUAAUAUUUAAUUGAAUUUAAUUUUUUAUUUAAAAAGUUAAAAUAAUUUAAAAAGACGAGAAGACCCUAUAGAGUUUUAUAUUAAAUUAAAUUAAAAUUAUUUAUAUAAUUAUUAAUAUAGAUUUAAUUUUAGUAUUUUGUUGGGGUGACAAAAAAAUAAAUAAAACUUUUUUUAUUAUUUACAUAAAUAAAUGAAUUUUUGAUCCAAUUUUAUUGAUUAAAAGAAAAAAUUACCUUAGGGAUAACAGCGUAAUUUUUUUUUUUAGUUCUUAUAAAAAAAAAAGUUUGCGACCUCGAUGUUGGAAUCAGGAAAAA